CCCAGGGGCCAGCGCUACCAGAGCAGGCCCCCAGCCUGAGUCACUCCCACCUUUUGUUCCUGUUGCUCUGAAGCUUUUCAGCAUUUCUUGAAAUAAUGAAUUCCAGUAACACUGAUAGCUCUUGGCCGGCUCACCAUGAAGCCCUUGAUCCCAGCCUGGCUGAGAGCAGAGGCUGUUUCACACAUCACUGACUCUGCCCCAGCCUCUGGCUCAGAGCUAGUAGCAGGACAUGAAGGUUUACUGAACACCAAACAGAUGAAAUGAUGACCGUAGAGGCCACAGUGAGGAUUAAAAGAGGCAUGUUGUGCAAAGCACCCAGCCCAGUAUCUGGUACCUGAAGGCAACUAUAUCAUGGAAGAGGAACAGGCUUGAAAUGGAUCAACAAGGACCAGCCCCAUGGCUGGGUGAAUGGACAGAUCUUGGACUGAUAGUGAAGAGACCUGGGCUCUGGAACCGACUUUGAAGCCAACUGGCUGAGUGUCCUUGGACAAGUCCUUCAGCCUCUUUGGGCUCAGCCUCACAUCUGUAAAAUGAAGGGCUGGAUCCAGUGGCCCAAGGGUCCUUCUGGCUCAGCAUCCUCUGAGGCAGGUAGCCUUGGCCAGACCCUGUGAGCUGACUCCUCGGUAAGAAGUAGAACAUGGAAGAUCUUGGUGUGUCCUAGACGUGUCUUGAGUCCAUGAAGGUAGUCAGUCAAGUGCACCCUGGCCCUGGCCCCAGCAAGCCACAGGGAUGAACCUGAGGCCUCUGCAGGCAAAGAAGAUGUGCCCAGUGCACACAGCUAAUGAGCGAGCAGGCAGGUGAACCAUGCAUGGCUGGUCCUAAGAUCAAGGCUCGCCACACUGCUUCCCGUAGGCUGCCCUCCCCCAACCCUGCCCUUAGCCACCUCUCAU
rnacentral:lncRNA from 10 species